GCAACGAAGAGGGGGCGGGGCCUCCAUCCUGCCCUCAGAAGCCGCCUUCUUUCUCGCCCGUCCUUGUCACCCGUCCAUCAAGGCCGGAGCCAAUAGGGGCCCGCUUUAUUCUUAUAUCCCACCAUCAUCUCUCUCCCUGAAGGGACUUGGGGUGGAAACCAAGCCCAGUAUAAACAAGGAUUCCAAUGUAAAAACACAAUUAAAAAUAUAUAACAAAUAAACGAUAUCUAAAUCUAUCUAAUCUAAAUCUAAAUUAUAUUCUAAUUCUAAAUCUAAAUCUAAAUCCAUAAUAAAAGUGAAGACCCGUAUGUGUGUAUGUGGCACGCAUGUCCGCUCAAACAGACUAUGGAUUUAGAUUUAGAUUUAGAAUUAGAAUAUAAUUUAGAUUUAGAUUCGAUAGAUUUAGAUAUUGUUUAUUUGUUAUAUAUUUUAAUUGUGUUUUUACAUUGGAAUCCUUGUUUAUGCUGGGCUUGGUUUCCACCCCAAGUCCCUUCAGGGAGAGAGAUGAUGGUGGGAUAUAAGAAUAAAGUUGUUAUUAUUAUUAUUAUUAUUAUUAUGUACAUACAAUAUAUAGAUGUCAAGAUCUAUAUUUUCCAAUUCCCGAUCACUUCCUUGUUCCUUCCUUUCUUCCUCCUCCUCUCCCUUCCUCCCUUCUUCCCUUUCUCCCUCCCUCCCUUCCUCCUCCCACCUUCAUUCUUUCUUCCCUUCCUUCCUCCCCCCUUUUUUUCCGUGUCAGUAGCAACUUGAGUCGCUUCUGUAGUGAGAGAAUUGGCUGUCUGCAAGGACGUUUGCCCAGGGGACGCCCAGAUGUUUUGAUGUCUUUAUCAUCCUUGUGGGAGGCUUCUCUCAUGUCCCCGCAUGGAGCUGGAGCUGGAGCUGAUAGAGGGAGCUCAUCUGCACUCUCCCCGGGUGGGAUUCGAACCUGGCAGCUUUCAGGUCAGCAACCCAACCUUCAAGUCACAAGGCUUUAGUGCACUACGCAAUCAGGGGCUCCAUUCUUCCCCCUUAUUUAUAUAUUUAUUUAUUUAUAGGUAAAAAGGUUUCUCUCCCCCGGCGGUGCAGCAGAUUGAACCGCUGAGCUGCUGAACUUGCUGACAGAAAGGCUGGCAGGUUUGAAUCCGGGGAGAGGAGUGAGCGCCCGCUGUUAGCCCCAGCUUCCGCCAAUCUAGCAGUUCGAAAACAUGCAAAUGUGAGAAGAUCAAUAGGUACCACUUCUGCGGGAAGGUAACAACGCUCCAUGCAGUCAUGCCCGCGGCCACAUGACCUAGGAAGUGUCUAUGCACGAUGCUGGCUCAUUUGGUGAUGGGUACAACCCCCAGAGUCGGACACGACUGGACUUCAUGUCAGGGGAAACCUUUACCUUACUGUGUGUUCUGCACAAUAGUGUGUUUUUGUGAGCCGCUCCUAGUUAGAGUUGUUGUAUGUAUUCCGGGCUGUAUGGCCAUGUUCCAGAAGUAUUCUCUCCUGACGUUUCGCCCACAUCUAUGGCAGGCAUCCUCAGAGGUUGUGAGGCAUGGAGAAACUAGGCCAGUUAAUAUAUAUCUGUGGGAAGUCCAGGGUGUGAGAAGAGUUGUUUGUCAGUUGGAAUGUUGCGUGAAUGUUGCAGUUAAUCACUCUAAUUAGCAUUGGAAAGGUUUGUCUCUUGCCUGGGGGACAUCCUUUGUUCAGAAAGGAGGAAACCAUGAAAAUGAACAAAAUCUGGCUACCAGUAUUAAAAAACUCAAAAAUCAGAACAGUAGAUGGGAACCAACACUCUGAGGGCAGAGGAGCUCCAGGGAUGACUAAUGACUCUGAACAAAGAGUAUGAAAUUCCUGAAAUGCAGUAGAACCUGCGGAAGGCCAGCUAUCUGCCGUAACAAUCCAAACUGCAGAGCAGUGGUUCAUCAAGCUGAACAUAGAUUACUCAGGUCAGUGGCCAGGGGUCUGAGCAGGUAUCCCCCAGCUUCACUGACUUUCAUUAAUUUUCCAUAUAAACUAUUUUCUUGGAAGAAGGUUAGCAAGAAAAAGGAAGAGGGAGGAAGAAUAGAAGGAGGAGAGGAAGGAAGGAAGGAAGAAAAUAAGCAGGAGGAGGAAGAAUACAGGAAGGAGGAGAAGGAUUAAUUAAAUCUUAUUUUAAAAGCUCAAAUCCAAUCAAAGAUUAUUUCAGAUCACUGUCCAACUACAAUAGGA
rnacentral:lncRNA from 1 species